rnacentral:lncRNA from 1 species
CAAUGGGAUACCCAGGGAUAGUUCUUCUUUCGAUUUAAACGUUUAAUGGUAUUAGGACGAACACGGCCGAACCUUUUCUUCCCCAUCAUUGCUGCUGUGCUUUGUGCCUCCUAGACCUAAACGAUUAGGGGACGCUGGAAACCCUAGAGCUAAAUAUAUAUAUGUGUGUAUAUAUGUAUAUAUGUAUAUAGGAAAUCAAUUUACCAAGGUAUCAAAGAAAAUUACAAACAGAGAGAAAGAUAAAGGAAAGCUUAAACGAAAUCAGAUGAUAAAUCAAUUCGGAGACUCACAGAGCAAAUCGUCGAAGACGAAGAAGAUUAAUGAUGCAUAAAGACAGUAAACACAAGAGAUUAUGAAAAACGUUUGAUCUAUUCAGAGUUGUUUCAUUCUAUAAAAGACCUAUCUAAACCAGAUCGAUACGAAAAACAAACGGUACAAAAACUACAGAGACUCGUCGAAACAAACAACAAUCAGAUAUGAAUCAUCAAAGGUUCUUUGAUUGAGAUAACAGAGCGAUAUAAACAUAGAUCAACAGCAGAACGCGAUAAUCUAAACAUCAAAACGGAACAAAGAAGAAUUUCAUCGACGAUCUACGAGAAGAAGAAGACUAACCUUG